GUGCUCAAUUCAGCAGCACAUAUACUAAAAUUAGAAUGAUACAGAGAAGAUUAUCAUGGCCCCUAUGCUAGGAUGUCAUGCAAAUUUGUGAAGCAUUCCAUAUUUUU